rnacentral:lncRNA from 1 species
AUUCUACACUGUCACAUUUAGCGAGGAAUUCUAUACUGUCGCACUUACACCACGUCAUCAAUAACAAGCCAAUCACAUUCCUUCUUUUUAAACAAAAGUACAAUAAAAGUACUUUUUUACAAGCAUGAUGGGACAUAUAUUUUUAAAAGGAUUAAUUUGAUUGGUUUAUUACGCCACGUCACUAAUAUACCCGUUGCAUUCUAGAAUUUUUCGAAAAGAGCCCCGCAGAGUGAGCGCAUGGCGGUGCACUGCCGAUUACUACGUACAUUACUUCACGAGCGCACAAGUCCUUCUCGAUGAUGGAGUUUUCAAAUUAACGAUUUAUUUUAUAUCGCUAAAUAUAACGUAAUACAUUCGAAAUAUCCAGAAAUCGAAUUUUCUUAAUUUUUUGAAUAUAUAAUCAAAUCCAUCAAGUGAGU